rfam:Candidatus Walczuchella monophlebidarum isolate FNIIJ chromosome, complete genome.
AUGGGUGACUAAUGCAACGGUGAUCACCUCUUUCCAUUCCGAACAGAGAAGUUAAGCCCGUCAGCGCUAAUGGUACUGGGAUGGACUCCCGGGAGAGUAUGUGGUUGCCCAUU